rnacentral:lncRNA from 1 species
AUUCUCUCUGCUUCUCAUGAUAAAGAUAUGUUGGCUGGUGCUCCACCUCAGAAUUCCCAAUUAUUGACGAGCCUCUACACCUCAGAAUUGCUAGCAUUCAACGAGCAAUAUGGUGCUCCAUGGUCGAAUAAUAGCUCUCUCUCAUCUUCAGCAAUUUCUCUGCGUUGAGAGAUCCGGCCCCUGGGUCGUCUAGUGGACUACUGGACUCGAAAAUGGUGACUGAAAUUUCCAUUUUUUCUAGAAUCAAUUGUUCCUGAAAUCCCACUACCUAUGACAGAUUGGAGGCGAUGCUUUACAUGUCAGCAACGGCAGCAAGUAUGCUUGGUUCUGUUCAGUUCAUAGCAAUUUACAUGAUCGAACACAAGGAAUAUGGAUAGGGUCCACAGCAGUGGGGGCAAACUUGUCCUAACCUUUCUCUUCCAAUUAACUUUUCUCUCUGUAUCGCUUGAAACUCUUCGCAGAUUAAUUGCUUCACUGCUUUAGUGAAGUACUUAACUUAGUUUGGUGGUGAGCACACAAUUCAUCUUUUACCUCA